CACGUAGGGUGCGAGCGUUGUCCGGAAUUAUUGGGCGUAAAGAGCUCGUAGGCGGUUUGUCGCGUCUGCCGUGAAAAUCCGGGGCUCAACCCCGGACUUGCGGUGGGUACGGGCAGACUAGAGUGUGGUAGGAGAGACUGGAAUUCCUGGUGUAGCGGUGAAAUGCGCAGAUAUCAGGAGGAACACCGAUGGCGAAGGCAGGUCUCUGGGCCACUACUGACGCUGAGAAGCGAAAGCGUGGGGAGCGAACAGG
rnacentral:rRNA from 1 species